AUUCCAUUCCCUCCGAGUAGAAAACAAUAGGAAAACAUAUUCUCUUCAAAAUUAAAGACGCAGCCAGUCGCCAAUUUGAAGAUGAGGCACGCCAAGCAAAACCUACGUGCUUAAAAUAACGCGGCAACAAUCUCCGCCGGUUCGCCUGCCACGGUCUCCGACCAUCCCCAGUAAUUAUAGAAAAGAAAAGACUAUCUUGAACGUCAUGGACAAUCCUACAAAUAAAAGAUGGAUGUAUUGUGAAAGAGUUAGUAAAGAAUAUUUGGAUGGAGUAGAGGAUUUUUUAAAUCAUGCCUUUUCUGAAAAACAAGAUGGAGAAAAAAUUGCAUGUCCUUGUACGGAGUGUGUGCUUAUCCAUCAAGUAAAUCGGGCUACAACAUGUGAUCAUCUUAUGGUUAAUGGUAUUAUAUCAUCAUAUGAUACUUGGUUUUGCCAUGGUGAGUCUCUAAAGGGAUCAAACAAUGUUGAAGCAAAUAAUCGCAGUCAGUCAACUCAAAGGGGCGAUGAUAUGAGAGGAAUGAUACAUGAUGCAUUUGCAGGUAUUACACAGUUCAUGGAUACUGACGUUAGUGAAUUAGGUGGUAUAGAGCAAGACUUACAAGAGAAUACUGCUCAUCCAUCUGGAAAUCAACCUCAUCCAGAGGUGGAUAAGUUUGAACGGCUCAUGAAGGAGGCAAAUUAAGAAUUAUAUCCUGGAUGUAAGAAGUUUAGCAAACUCUCUUUUUGCUGCAUUUGUAUCGCACAAAAUGCAUGUUCAAGUAGUCAAAUGAAUCUUUUAAUUCUUUGCUUGGACUAUUGAAAGAUGCGCUGCCUGAAGGAGAAAAAUUACCUCCUUCUUUCUAUGAGACCAAAAAGAUAGUUGAAGGCUCGGGCUUAAAGUAUUAAAAAAUCCAUGUUUGUCCCAA